GACGUAGGGGGCCAGCGUUGUUCGGAAUUACUGGGUGUAAAGGGUUCGUAGGCGGUGCGGCAAGUCGGGAGUGAAAUCUCUGGGCUCAACCCAGAGGCUGCUUCCGAAACUGCUGUGCUUGAGUGUGGGAGAGGCGCGUGGAAUUGCAGGUGUAGCGGUGAAAUGCGUAGAUAUCUGGAGGAACACCGGUGGCGAAGGCGGCAUCCUGGACCAACACUGACGCUGAGGAGCGAAAGCCAGGGGAGCAAACGGG
rnacentral:rRNA from 1 species